GUCCUUUUGAUAAUAAUUUAAGGUCUGACCUGCCCACUGAUUAAUUGAAUGGCCGCGGUAUUUUGACCGUGCAAAGGUAGCAUAAUCAUUAGUUUUUUAAUUGAAAGCUGGAAUGAAUGGUUGAAUAAGAAAAUUUCUGUCUCAGUUUAAAUUAAUUAAAAUUUUAUUUUUAAGUUAAAAAGCUUAAAUGUUAUUUAAAGACGAGAAGACCCUAUAGAGUUUAAUAAAUUUAUUUUAUUAUUUUAAAAGAUUAUAUUUGUUAAUAUUUAAAAUUUAUUUAAUUGGGGUGAUUAAAAAAUUUGAUUAACUUUUUAAUUUAUUACAUUGAUUUAUGAAUUGUUGAUCCAUUAAUUAUGAUUAAAAGAAUAAAUUACCUUAGGGAUAACAGCGUAAUUUUUUUUUAGAGUUCUUAUUGAAAAAAAAGAUUGCGACCUCGAUGUUGGAUUAAAAUAAAUAUUUGGUGAAGAAGCUAAAUUAUUAAGUCUGUUCGACUUUUAAAAUUUUACA
rnacentral:rRNA from 1 species